GUCUAUAGCCAUGCUCCCCUGAACGUGCCUGAUCCCAUCUGAUCUCAGAAGCGAAGUAGGGUCAGGCCUGGUUAGUACUUGGAUAGGAGACCACCUAGAAAUACUAGGUGCUGUAGGCU
ensembl:rRNA 5S_rRNA 5S ribosomal RNA